rnacentral:rRNA from 1 species
UACGUAGGUGGCAAGCGUUAUCCGGAAUUAUUGGGAGUAAAGCGCGCGCAGGCGGUCUUUUAAGUCUGAUGUUAAAGCCCACGGCUCAACCGUGGUUCGCACUCAGAAACUGGGAGACUUGAGUAUUGAAGAGGAAAGUGGAAUACCACGUGUAGCGGUGAAAUGCGUAGAGAUGUGGUGGAACACCAGUGGCGAAGGCGACUUUCUGGUCAAAUACUGACGCUGAGGCGCGAAAGCGUGGGGAGAAAACAGG